rnacentral:rRNA from 1 species
GGUAUAGACCCGAAACCCGGUGAUCUAGCCAUGGGCAGGUUGAAGGUUGGGUAACACUAACUGGAGGACCGAACCGACUAAUGUUGAAAAAUUAGCGGAUGACUUGUGGCUGGGGGUGAAAGGCCAAUCAAACCGGGAGAUAGCUGGUUCUCCCCGAAAGCUAUUUAGGUAGCGCCUCGUGAAUUCAUCUCCGGGGGUAGAGCACUGUUUCGGCAAGGGGGUCAUCCCGACUUACCAACCCGAUGCAAACUGCGAAUACCGGAGAAUGUUAUCACGGGAGACACACGGCGGGUGCUAACGUCCGUCGUGAAGAGGGAAACAACCCAGACCGCCAGCUAAGGUCCCAAAGUCAUGGUUAAGUGGGAAACGAUGUGGGAAGGCCCAGACAGCCAGGAUGUUGGCUUAGAAGCAGCCAUCAUUUAAAGAAAGCGUAAUAGCUCACUGGUCGAGUCGGCCUGCGCGGAAGAUGUAACGGGGCUAAACCAUGCACCGAAGCUGCGGCAGCGACGCUGAUGCGUUGUUGGGUAGGGGAGCGUUCUGUAAGCCUGUGAAGGUGUGCUGUGAGGCAUGCUGGAGGUAUCAGAAGUGCGAAUGCUGACAUAAGUAACGAUAAAGCGGGUGAAAAGCCCGCUCGCCGGAAGACCAAGGGUUCCUGUCCAACGUUAAUCGGGGCAGGGUGAGUCGGCCCCUAAGGCGAGGCCGAAAGGCGUAGUCGAUGGGAAACAGGUUAAUAUUCCUGUACUUGGUGUUACUGCGAAGGGGGGACGGAGAAGGCUAUGUUGGCCGGGCGACGGUUGUCCCGGUUUAAGCGUGUAGGCUGGUUUUCCAGGCAAAUCCGGAAAAUCAAGGCUGAGGCGUGAUGACGAGGCACUACGGUGCUGAAGCAACAAAUGCCCUGCUUCCAGGAAAAGCCUCUAAGCAUCAGGUAACAUCAAAUCGUACCCCAAACCGACACAGGUGGUCAGGUAGAGAAUACCAAGGCGCUUGAGAGAACUCGGGUGAAGGAACUAGGCAAAAUGGUGCCGUAACUUCGGGAGAAGGCACGCUGAUAUGUAGGUGAAGUCCCUCGCGGAUGGAGCUGAAAUCAGUCGAAGAUACCAGCUGGCUGCAACUGUUUAUUAAAAACACAGCACUGUGCAAACACGAAAGUGGACGUAUACGGUGUGACGCCUGCCCGGUGCCGGAAGGUUAAUUGAUGGGGUCAGCGCAAGCGAAGCUCUUGAUCGAAGCCCCGGUAAACGGCGGCCGUAACUAUAACGGUCCUAAGGUAGCGAAAUUCCUUGUCGGGU